rnacentral:lncRNA from 1 species
CAGCCCUCAGCAUCAGCAAUGCCUCUGUGCUGGCCAGGAGCCUCUUUCUUGACCGGGCUUCUCAGAGCUGCCCUCACCUCCUUCUGUGCCAAGUACACCUACGCUGUCUGCAGGGCUGUCCUCUGUCCCUUGUUCCAGGACCCAGGCAUAGCCCUCUCCCCUCCUGUCUCUGGCCCAGGUCCUGUGCAGACGGAGUUACUGUGUUCCCUCUUAAAGGAUGAGUCCUUGGAGCCAGACAUGCAGGUCCAGAUUCUGGGGCAGGUCCUGGAGCUGGCCUGGAGGGAAGAGACGUUCCUGGUGUUGCAGGCGCUCCUGGAGCGGCAGGUGGGUAGGCUCUGGGUUUCAGGGUUAGGCAAGCAGGCCGCUGCCUUAUACCUGUGUCGCUG